rnacentral:rRNA from 1 species
UACAGGGGGGGGCAAGCGUUUGUUCGGAAUUAUUGGGCGUAAAGGGUGCGUAGGCGGUUUGGUAAGUCUUAUGUGAAAUCUACAGGCUCAACUUGUAGUCUGCAUGAGAAACUGCCGGGCUUGAGUAUGGGAGAGGUGAGUGGAAUUCCUGGUGUAGCGGUGAAAUGCGUAGAUAUCAGGAGGAACACCUGUGGCGAAAGCGGCUCACUGGACCAUAACUGACGCUGAUGCACGAAAGCUAGGGGAGCAAACAGG